UGAUAAAAACGGCGAGGAAAAAAUUAAAACACACACCCACUGGACAUACCGUACGGGUGCCAUAAGAGCUACGUUUGUUCCCCUCCGAUCCUGUGGGUGGCACUAACGAGCAUUACAAGAUGCAUUCCGACUUCAAGACAUAGACCAGAAUUUUAUCAGCUGUCGGUGACAUGCCAGAAAACCUUUGUACCUCAAGAUGAAUGUGAGUAGCAUCAUCUGCAGGACCAGGAAGGGGUAAGCAAAACUUUCCCUGAGAGGAGGAGUCCACAUCACACGUGUGCUCUGACGCAAAAAAAACAUGAGCUCAUUUUUAUUCAGUCACAUUUCAGUCACCUCACACUCACCUCGCCGUGAUUGAAGAAGAAACACACGGUGGUCACAAUGCCGCCCAGUCGGCUUCCGCUGGAAAGGAACCUUUAUUAACCCUCAUUCUAAUCGUUUCUUUUUUUUUUUUAACCGACCGGCCAAACGAGGAUAAUUACCUGAGAAGAUAUUUGCAGAGGGCACAGGAUCUCCACGGCAACUGCAAGUACCUUCGCAACUGUCCACUGGCGUGAGGCCUUCUCCUCUGUUGAUGGACCAGCACAUCUUGGUGGGAACACCAAAGUAGCCCAUGACGGACGUGUACACCCGGUACCAGCUGGCUAGAACCACCUGCAGCGCGCACACACACACAAUCAGUCGGCCCGAUCAGUAUGGAUUAUUUUUUCUGCUGAUGCAGAUUUUAUAUAACAGUUGCGAAAUAA